rnacentral:rRNA from 1 species
GACGAACGCUGGCGGCGUGCCUAAUACAUGCAAGUAGAACGCUGAAGGAGGAGCUUGCUUCUCUGGAUGAGUUGCGAACGGGUGAGUAACGCGUAGGUAACCUGCCUGGUAGCGGGGGAUAACUAUUGGAAACGAUAGCUAAUACCGCAUAAUAGUAGAUGUUGCAUGACAUUUGCUUAAAAGGUGCAAUUGCAUCACUACCAGAUGGACCUGCGUUGUAUUAGCUAGUUGGUGGGGUAACGGCUCACCAAGGCGACGAUACAUAGCCGACCUGAGAGGGUGAUCGGCCACACUGGGACUGAGACACGGCCCAGACUCCUACGGGAGGCAGCAGGAGGGAAUCUUCGGCAAUGGACGGAAGUCUGACCGAGCAACGCCGCGGGAGUGAAGAAGGUUUUCGGAUCGGAAAGCUCUGUUGUAAGAGAAGAACGAGUGUUAGAGUGGAAAGUUCACACUGUGACGGUAUCUUACCAGAAAGGGACGGCUAACUACGUG